AUAGUCGGAUUCGCAUCAAUUCAUAUGUGUUGGAGUCGACUAGAGUGAAACUUGAACUAAAUUCUACUCCAAUUCACUUCAACACAUGUGAAUUAAGAUGAAUCCAACA
rfam:Sorghum bicolor cultivar BTx623 chromosome 3, whole genome shotgun sequence.